rnacentral:piRNA from 1 species
UAGGCAAGUGCUCUACCACUAAGCUAAAUGC